GUGAACUCUUCACUCGAUAGGUGGAAUGAUAGGGUAACGCCUUGAAACGCCUACUCUAAUACUCCGACAUGCGUUAUUCGAAUGUGUAUAAGAAUAAGGUGUGAAGCUCGGUGAAGUCGGCUGAAUGUUACCGUAGUGCCAAUCUAAUUGGUAAUCGAAAGCUAACUAGAGGUAGUUGGUGUAACAGAUAGGUCGGGAGUCGUUAAA
rfam:Lysinibacillus xylanilyticus strain DSM 23493 Scaffold4, whole genome shotgun sequence.